CCUACGGGUGGCUGCAGUGGGGAAUAUUGGACAAUGGGGGCAACCCUGAUCCGGCCAUGCCGCGUGUGUGAAGAAGGCCCUCGGGUUGUAAAGCACUUUCAGUGAGGAAGAACGCCUGGUGGUUAAUACCCAUCAGGAAAGACAUCACUCACAGAAGAAGCACCGGCUAACUCCGUGCCAGCAGCCGCGGUAAUACGGAGGGUGCGAGCGUUAAUCGGAAUUACUGGGCGUAAAGCGCGCGUAGGUGGCUUGAUAAGCCGGUUGUGAAAGCCCCGGGCUCAACCUGGGAACGGCAUCCGGAACUGUCAAGCUAGAGUGCAGGAGAGGAAGGUAGAAUUCCCGGUGUAGCGGUGAAAUGCGUAGAGAUCGGGAGGAAUACCAGUGGCGAAGGCGGCCUUCUGGACUGACACUGACACUGAGGUGCGAAAGCGUGGGUAGCAAACAGGAUUAGAUACCCUAGUAGUC
rnacentral:rRNA from 1 species